rnacentral:rRNA from 1 species
UACGGAGGGGACUCGCGUUGUUCGGAAUUACUGGGCGUAAAGCGCACGUAGGCGGACUUGUAAGUCAGGGGUGAAAUCCCGGGGCUCAACCUCGGAACUGCCUUUGAUACUGCAAAUCUCGAGUCCGGAAGAGGUGAGUGGAAUUCCUAGUGUAGAGGUGAAAUUCGUAGAUAUUAGGAAGAACACCAGUGGCGAAGGCGGCUCACUGGUCCGGUACUGACGCUGAGGUGCGAAAGCGUGGGGAGGAAACAGG